GACAUGACUACGAAAAACUUCGUGAGGGCACUGUGCAAAUAGUAUAUAUCCAUGUAGGCUACUAAUUGUUCGCCACCUUUUUGCACAUCAAUUCGUAUUAAUUGAUUUAAAUUCUAGGAGAUAUAAUGCUUUUCCUAUGUAAAUACCAAACACUGAACAUACAUCAGUAUUGCAAGGAUUUACUAUACAAAUCCUUGAGUAUCGUAAAUGUUGAGAAAGGC
rnacentral:lncRNA from 1 species